CUGUGACAACACUCAGCCUACUGUCCUCUGGAUGAAAGUCCUGGCAGAGCAAAAAUAACCUCUUGGAGUAGUGAUGUCUCUCUUCCAGAGCACUCCACGACACCACUUCUCAGCUACCACUGCUCAGUGGCUAAAGUGAUUGAUUUUGAGGAAUUGGAAAAAAAGAGCGUAUCUGCAUCCCAGUGACCAGAAAGUGUGUUAACUUACUGAAGCAGUGAAACCAUACCUGGUACAGUAGCUACAACUGGAGUCGCUGCCUGGUUAAGCUUAUGAUAAUCCGCCAUCAUUCUCCAAUAGCCUUCUGUCUUCUGCACAGGCCACGUAGAUAGGCUAAGAACACCUCUACACCUCAUCAUGAGUCACCUAGGGACAAGGGGAGCCUUUCAAGCGCAGUCAUCUAUUGUUUCCUGGAGCUGAGCAUAUGUGAUGAGAACAGCCUUGGUCAGAACCAUGCAGCAGCCGAAUAGUCUUUGUGUCGCAGGAGUGGGACGCUUGGAUUUUAGUCACCUUCUUUGCUUGUAUAAGCCACAGAAACAAAAGCUAAACCUGAUUUGUUGUCCUGGCACCUCGUAGGAAGCUGUGAGAAAUUUGCUUCAGUCUCUAAAGUACAGUUUUCUACAAAUAGCUGGUUUGUGUACCGGGGGCCUACGGCCAUUCCACAGAGCCAACUUCAGAGGAACAAAUACAUGGAUGGUUGUGUCAAUGGCUCAACCCUUUCCUUUUAACUCCACCUUGAAAACAAACUUCCUGUCAUCUCCCUAGGAAGAUUUUCUACAUUUUCUACACCAGUGACUUCUUACUGCACCUGUCUUUGUGUAAUUACUUCUUUUAAAAAAACACAAGUAAACUUUGCAUGUUUAAUCUCAUUCUUCUUACCUCACUAACUGGCAUUUUAUUGAUUUACCUGUUCAAGAAGUCAUGUUCAGACUCAGCACCUCUGCAGUUACUCUUGUUUGUUUUUAUUUAUUAACCACCUAGCAACAUAGUCUUACGGGAGCCCUCCUUAACAAUUGGUAUCCUACACACAUGUCUCCAGUAUUGUGUCGAUUUUUCCAGCCAUACACACAUGUUUCUUCCUUUUGAACCAGUAGCAGGAAUCUCAAAACUUGAGAAAGUCAAGCUCAGAGAAAGUUGACUUCUAGGUGGUUUUCCUUGUCUUAUCUCCAAAGAGUUAGAUGUCUGUGGUCUUGAAAUGGCAAAAGUUUAGAUGAAGGAGAGUUUGACUGCAGCUGGCAAAAUUUGAGUCAUAACUUUCAACUUGGGCGGGCUAGCAUUAACUUCAGCAUGUUCCCUAAACAUGUGAGGGUAGAAGGCCAAGAUGCCGGAACAGCAUUCUGUGACCCUUUGUCCAAGAGUGACCUUUCUUGAAUUAUUGAAUCAGAUGUGGGAGAAGAUGGUGUGAAAAUAAGAAGGCUUCUCAGAUGUUUGAAUUUUAGAAGACAUUAUUCUUGCCAAUAUGAUGGAAAAUGUUGUAUAAUUCAUUUUAACAUUGUAGAAAAUCAGGAAUGGAAGCUCCUUUUGGGCCAUGGGAAAAAAAAACCUCUCAACUUAUAAAUGUUGAUAUCUUAGUAACUGUUUAACUUAUGGAAUAUUCUGUGGGUCUAAUCAACAGAAUUGUGAUCAACAGUGUGGUGAUUUAGCUUCGUUUUUAUCACAUUCUGGCAAGUUGUGUUUAAACAGGUCAUGAUAUCUUAUUCUUUAACUAUUAUCUCUGUGUUUCCCCUCCUUACAAGAGCAGGGCUGUCAUUUAGAGAAGUGAGCUCACGUUGGUGCUAGAAUCACAAGGAUGCUUUUGCUGCAAUAUGGAUUUGGAGUGUACAGUGUAACCAUUUAUUUAUCUCCAUCCACAUAUGAAUUAGCUUGUUUUCCUAUCCCUCCCUGGCAGUUGCUGUUUCUUCUUUUAGUUUUUGCUUUUUGUUCUCCCUACACAUUAUUUUUCUUAGUUUCUAAAUACCAUUGUUUUUGUUUUUAAAGUUUAUGGUUGGGGAUGGGGGACAAUGGGGAAUGACUGUUAACGGGUAUAGGAUUUAUUUGGGGGGAUAAUGAAAAUGUUCUAAAAUUGAUUAUGGUAAUGGGUAGAUGACUCUGAAUACACACAAAGAAAAUAAUUGAAUUGUAUGCUGUAAACAUGUGUAUUUCUUGAGCACCUUGUAGAACCAGAUUCUCUGUGGGCCCUAGGAUCCGUGGUGAAUAAAAUGAAUAAGUUCCCUGUCCUCAAGGGAUUGAUAUUCAAGUGAUGGAAAUAAAUGCUAAAUAAUUAAAAAAUUGUUUUGUAUGGUAAUAAAUGCUCAAGAGAAUAUUUAAAGGUGAAAAUAUUAUAGAGAGUUUAUUUUAACUUAAGAUAGAAUCUUCAGGAGAGUUCUCUCUGAGAAGGUAGCAUUUCAGGUGAUCCUAAAUGAUAGAAGAGCAGCCAGACGUGUGCAUACUUGGGGCAAGAGCACUCCAGGCAAAGGGAAUAUACAGGGUCAAGUUCCAGGGUGGCUGGGUAUACCAGAGGGCGCAUGAUGCAGGUGUUGUAAGGGGAAAAGCCCUUUAUUUUUGUUGUAAUUACAAUGGACAGUCAUUGGGAGAUCAUAAGUAGGGGCAUGUUAGAGUUUGAUUUCAUCUUCAAAAGACUUCAGAGACCAGUCAGAAGGCUGUGAUAGUGUUCCAGCUGUACUUGUGUUGUAGUGACAUUGGGGAGAUGUAACACGUGGUUGAUUUUGGAGGCACAGCCCAGUGUAUGUGUCUUUUAUAUUUCCUAGCAUAAUGUGGCAUAUACAAUGCAUGCUUUGUUGAAUGGAUGAAUGUUUGGAGAGGGCCGUAGGGGGAGAAAUAUCUAAGUAACAACGGAAGGCCAAUGAUACAUCAAACUUUGGUGCCAUGAAAUAUUGACUUUUGAAUUUAUCAGUAGUUGUUGACUUCUUGAUGGAUGCUACUGUGGAUUGUAGUCCAAACUUGUAAUAUCAGCAGCGAUAAUGCCAGACUAAUUCCUUGCAUUUCACUGUUCAUCACAAUGCAAUGCGGAAAAAGAGGAUUUAAUUUGAGGUGAAAGAUAUUGUGUAAUGGAGAAGUAAGGGUAGCUUUACUUUUAAGGUAAUCUCUUUUCUAUACCUUGAUAUCUUCCCAUCAUUGCCUCUACUUGUCCUGGUGAUAUUUGUUAAGUUAUCAACACCUUUAAAAAAAAACCCAAAAUCUAGAAAUUAGAGGGUCAAUAUCUUUGUAGUGAUGUUCAUUUGGGAGCAGAAAUGGAAAUCAUGAGAUAUGGAACCUACUCUCUGCAGGAUCCAUCUCAUUAUCCAAGAUAUAAGGACACCAUAGGAGUCGCUGAGAAUUGCUUUCCAUAUUUAGAUUUCUGGUUUGUCAGAAAUUAACUGCAUCACAAUAGGUCUACGCUCUGUUUCUGGGAAGCAGCUGGCAUGGAAGGGAAAGAACAUAUUCUCUGAAUAUCAGUUUAUAUCCUGGUUCUCUUGCUUACUGCAUGAGCUUGGGCAAAACACUUCAUUUCUGGGUUUGGUGUGCUAAGCUGCGAUAUGGUGGCAGUAAUCCACUGCUUUCAGAAAAUAACUGCCUUUCAGUAUAAUUUAUAUAGGAGAUCACCUAUUUAAAGUAAUUCAAAACAUGGUCUCUUUACUUCCUUUCCCUUUUCUUUCCUGAGGAAGUAGUUGUCAGGUGUAAUUUUAUUGCUUAUCAAUAUUAUACUUGUUGUAUGAACAUAGAGGGGCUGUAGUUCUGUGGAAAAGUCUCACCAUGGUGCUAAAUUGGGUGCAGAGUUCUGGCUUCCCUUUAGGACAUGCAUGGAUAACCAGCAUAGCCAAGGAUUAAAUGAGUGGAUGGUUUUCUGUGAUUAUGCCAGAAUCUCAACCAAUGAUAAAGAUAUACGACCUGGCAGAAGUAAAAGUAAAGGUUAUAAGUACAUUUGGAUGAAGGCUACCGAGACUGGAAAAGGAUUGACCUUCCAUUCAGAUGCGAGCUUUUGACUUGGUUGCACUUUGCUUCCUCUCCAAACUGGCACUUUAUUUUCAGCCCUCAAAUAAAGAGCAACCAUUUGAUUUUGUAAUGUAAAAACUAUUAUUGCCCUUAGGAAAAGGAUUACUGAACUUUCUGUACCUAGUGUUUAUGCCUUUAAUAAGCACAGUGUUUCCAAGAGAAUUGAAUGCCUUUUUGUACUGUGAUGUUUUUCUACCACUACAUCUGAGUUUUGUACCUUAAUGUCUGGGAAACUUGUUUUUAUAAAUUCACAGAAACCUGACAAACAGUAGGAAUUUGUUCUCUGUCCUGUAGAGAUGGGCAAAUCCCUAAAGAGCUUGUUGAUCUCAUGCUAGUUACUUUGCUGUGAGCCAGGCGCCUUUCUUUUCUAAGGGAAAGAUUUAUACAGGGGAAUAAGGUUCAUGGGAAAUAGCAGACUCAGGUAACUGCAGUGUUAACAGGCAGCACCACAUAUCGUGGGUUCAUCCACUUACCUAUGGAAACUCUUACAGGCUCUAACAUUUGAUUGUGCUUUACAGGUUGCAUAUAGUAUUGCAUUUUGAUUCCAACUAUGGCAUCAUAAAGGGCAAUGACAUACAAAGACCUGCUACUCUCCUAAAUAUUAAAAGCCAAAGCAUGAAGAGGAAGAGUUUAAGUGUGGGGCAAUGAAGCUGGAGAGAAAAGCAAGAGUCAGAUGGCAAAGUGUUUUGUGUGCCAACUUCAAGACUUUAAACUUCAUUCUAAGAAACUUCAGGAAGGGAGGAGAUCAGAAAUCACUUGAUGGAAGGCCAUCAAGAGCCUCAGAGGAACCAAGAAGGACCUGAAAACAGAAGACCAGGAAAACCAUCUUCAAUAAGAGCAAAGAAUUGAAAAUAGGGAAUCUAGUAAAAACGGGCAGGCGAUGGCUCUCAACCUUUUUCCACCAUGCACACAUGAUUCAGAAUGUUCCUAUGUUCUGUGCUAUCAUGGGAGUACAUACUUUCUGGCAAAUCAGCUGUGAUUUCACCUCAUUCUCAUCCACUCUAGAAAGCCUGUCAAAGUGCAAAUGAGAGCGACACUGGAUCCCCUCUCAUGUGGCCGAGUCUCUAGCAUGCAUGAGCCAGAAAACAAGAGAAAGGGAAGGUCUAGAGUAUGGAUUAAGGGGAUAAUGUGCUAUCAGGGAAAUGGACAGGGGGCUUUUGUGUCUCAGCCAUUUGAGGUUGAGAGAAAAGGAAGGGGGGAGGGGGGGGGGGCUUAAGAGAACCUCUCUGAUGAAGUUAUUCAAAGAACCGAGCCUUGAGCAGUAAAAAACAAAAUGUGUUAACGGAGAAACUUGGAUGGGGGCGAGAGUGAACACUGGGGAGCCUUGGGAAGAUGGAGAGAAUACGAGCCAAAACCCAGGCAGUGCGACAGGGAAGAAAUGGUGGGGAGACACAGAAUCUGGGAAGGAGUCCUCAGAGCAGAGAUGGGAAAGCUGUCGGCUCUGUCGUUGUUUCACUGCUGGGCAGAGAGCAGGCAUCGCCCCAAGAUCCAGGGGCCGGCCUGGGUGACCCAGGGUCCGCCCAGGUCGCGGGGUGGUCCUUAAAAGCAGUCUUUUUGUUCUUUGGUGAUAACAGACUGGUGGGUCAGAUAUACCAGUUUUUUCCCCUCUGUCCCCUUCUGUCAAAUUAUGAAAGCUUCAUGGGCAAUGUGUGUUUUUAAGUUUUAAGCACCACUCAGUCAGAGGGGAUUUUCCACAAGGACUUACAAAAAUGCAGAUUACACUGUAAAAAUGCUUUUCAGCCAAUAAAAGUCCUGUUUUACUGA